UCAGCGGCAACAAGCCAUUCCUCCUUCUCCUCUCCUGAUGGCUUCACAGCCGCCACUACUACCCUGCAGCAAAGCAGCACCAGCGGCACCACCAAGGAAAGCUUGGCCACCAUAUCCCACCUAUCCACAGCACUCGUGUCCUCUGCUCCUUCCUCCACUCCUGCCGUUACGGGCAAUAUACAGAUGACCACAGUCCCUCCAAAAAGUGCUAUGGCUAGAUUUACAAGAUCCACAGCUAAUCCAAUUUUCACCACCACAUUUGUAUCAGGACCUUGUAUGCCAGUGUCCAUCGAAGUUCAGAAUGUGACUGGGGGUGCAAUACAAUUCAUCUGGACUAGUGGCAGGAGAGGCAGCCUCCACACCAUCUCCCUCAUGGAUGGAAAUCGGGAGAUAAAACAACUACAAAAGAGACAAAAACUGUGUUUGAACAUUUACUUCCUGGUCAUGUAUACACGGUAUCUGUGGAAGCACAGUCUUGUGCUGGGGAUAGCAGGACUUCAGUGAGUGUUCGAACAGGUAUUUCCACAAUCAUUCUGUGAUUUCUUUCUAAUGACUAUACACUAAAAAUAUCUUUUUUGCAAUAUGAUUUGGAUUUAAUUUCAUAGACUAUUAUUCCUGUAAGUCAUCUUCACUUAUCUGACUCAUCCCCUCACUUGGAUAGGGCUACUUGCAUUAAACAGAAGUUUACAAGAGCAAGUACUUAUUCUGUAAAAUUUAUGACCAUGCUCUAUUUCUAAACCAGAUAAUUCUGUAUGGAAGUCAGGAUAUUUUGACUGUGAAUUUAACAGUAAAUAUUCUGCUAGCAUUUGUGGUAGAAAUUCUGGUGAAGUUUAGGUUGUACAUGCUUUUGUGAAUGCAGACAGUCCUUAAUUGUCAUUGUCAUCUUUUAAUUUCAUCCUAGGACAUAGACAUUAAAACAGGCUGUUUAAUUGUUAUUUUCUCUUCAAUGCUUGUGCUGCCAGGUUAGGGGAGGCAUUUUUAUUAUUAAUCCUCAAAUGCACGACUUUGAGCAAAUGUCAUCCCAGUGCUGCAUCUCCAACCUUAGCUUCAACCAAUUCUUUCUGGAAGAGAUCUCAAUUCUCCCCUGUGUUAAUGGCACCUUCUAACUUUGUGUCAUCAACAAAUUUUAUGAGCAAACACAUGCAAUUGCUGGCAAGGUCUAUAAUGGAAAUGUUGAUCAAGUUCUACAACAAGACUGAUUCUCAAGGAACACCACAAGUAAUAUCCCACUAAAGCAAGCUUUAUUUUUUUAAAGCUGCCAUCUCCCCAUUAGCCAAUUUCUUUAGACAAACCUUUUUCCACUAAAAAUUCACCACUUGGCAUUGUAUAGUAUUGUUUUCCUAACUCUUCCUAUUGGAAGAGAUCUGAAAGUCAGCUUGUCAAAGGAAGCUACUAGGUUAUUUUGGCAUGAUCCUCUUUUGGUAGAACUGUAUUGAACUUUAUCAUACUUGGUAAGCGGUUGAGAAAAUGUUCAUGAUUUCUUUUAAUAUCUUUGGAAAGUUCUAACUUGCCUUUUAGCAAUUGUUGCUUUCUUUCAGCAUUUCUUGACCUAAAAUAUAACUGUCUUUUUUCGUAACCCUUUUUUCCGUUCUCUAGUGAAUUGUCUGAUCAUUCUCAAAACCUUUCUAGGACAAUUAUUCCAGCAGUUAAGUGUGGGGUUCCUCUUAGUGACUUACCCUCUGUCUUAGGCUUUAGAACCACAGAACCAGGGAAUUAUUAUUUCCAUUCAA